GACAGAGGAUGCAAGCGUUAUCCGGAAUGAUUGGGCGUAAAGCGUCUGUAGGUGGCUUUUUAAGUCCGCCGUCAAAUCCCAGGGCUCAACCCUGGACAGGCGGUGGAAACUACCAAGCUGGAGUACGGUAGGGGCAGAGGGAAUUUCCGGUGGAGCGGUGAAAUGCGUAGAGAUCGGAAAGAACACCAAUGGCGAAGGCAGCUCGCUGGGACGUUACUGACGCUGAGACGCGAAAGCGUGGGGAGCAAACAGGG
rnacentral:rRNA from 1 species